CCUUCUCCCCACUAGUUCAGAGGAAAGAAAGAAAAAGAAAUCGCCCCCUCACCAUAAUCAGCCCUCCUUAAAACAGUAAUCUCCACCUUUAAAAAAUUAUAUAUCUAAUAUGCGGUGGCAAAAUCCCUGAGUAAGGUCGGAAUGCCCCACCGCUCCCCGUUUUUCCCCAAUACUACGCCCACCCUGGGAGGAGAGGAGGAGGGUCGCACAAAUACACGUACCCGGACACCCCUAUUCUCUAGAAUCGCCUCUUUCCAGGGUCUGAGGUUUCAGGCGAGAAGUGAACCAUGCAGGGGAGGACCUCUGCCCGAGGAGGUUCAGGAGAAGAGCAAACUGUGUGCGCUCCGGUGCCCGGGCGCGGGGCUCGUGGACGCGGGAGCGUGUCGCUCCGGCCGGGGAGGCGCCGGCAGCCCGGGAUGGGCGCAGGGCGAUCCCGGCGCGGCUAGAAGGGAGGACACAGAGGGGCGGACUGGUCAGGCAGGGGACUUACCUGGUCAUGUUGGCUCCGGGCAGCCGCCGCCACCGCCUCCCGCGCCGCCACCAGCACUUUGCUCCAGCGCCUUCGCGCCCCGCCACGGCCGCGCAGCCUGCGCCUGCCCGCGCCGCCGCCUCCGGACGGCCAAUUUAAUCCCGCCGAGCAGCGGCCGCCGCCGCGGGAACCCCCCUGAUCGCCGCCGCCGCCCAGUCCCGGUGCGGCCAGCCCAGUCCAGAGCGAGGAAGUGGAGGAGAGUCAGCGAGAAAAUAACUCAGUGCCUCUGAGCGGAUUUCAGCAUUUCUGAAGAGGCUAGUUGUCUUUUUCCAGGACUUGCCUUUUUCUUUCCUCUAUUCUCUUUAGAGGUGGAGGAAUCACCAGUGGUAUUAUUUUACCUAAAUCUACAAGCUUUUUAAUUCUGCUCUGCACAGCUGGCUUAUUCUAACAGUGGUCUGUACUCUGAAGGAUGCUUCUAGCUGCUAGCACUAGUUGGCAAUUGGGGGUAGGAUUGAAUCCUACCUACUACCCUUCCAACCAUAACUAAGGUCGUAAGAGCCUGCAGAUACCUCAAGUCUCCUUCAGCAGGAAGCUGUAAUUAUAGGAAAUUUAGUGGACAUUGAAGUGCAAACGUAGCAGCCUGCUGGGACAUUUCAGUGGGCUUCAGCAUUCUAGGAUGCUUCUCGUUCUAGCUAUUUUACUUGGAAUUUGCCAUCAACUGUUUGUGUUGCCGUCUGUCUUUUCCUGUCAGUUUUUAGAAAAGCUUUAAAAGAUAUACCCUUAGCUUGCUUGCCCCCCCCCCGCCCCAAUUUUAUUGCAACAGCAUGAAAUAACCACCCUGGAAAUACCAUCUCAUAUAUCACAAGAAAAACAAAAACAACAAACAGAUCUUUCAACAAACAAACAAAACAAAAACAACAACAACAAAACCUUCUUAGAAUAAAGCUACACAUUUCAAGGGAGGAGAUGUUAUUUUUAUCUUGGAAUUAGUCCUAAUCCAUGCACAGAAUGGAGAGAAGA
rnacentral:lncRNA from 1 species